ensembl:lncRNA
GUUUUGUGCAUUUACAUACAAUUUUUUGUUUCUUCCAGGCCACUAAUCCGGGUCGUUUAUUCGACGAGGAAAAUAUAGCCUACCUUGUAAAUAUGCACUAGUCAUUCAUGAGAAGAAGGCAAUGUAAGGAAUAACAAAUCCGAAAAAUGUAAGGUAAAACAUAUGAGUGUAGCCUAGCCUACACAUUGACAUUCAAACAUAGCACACAAAUUGUAGCCGAUAGUCUACGUUCAGAACCAGAACGAACCAGCUUGGUCUAGGAAACAUUACACGACUCUCCACAUUCUAAGUAGGUCGACAUAUUUCAAGGAGUACCUGUCACACAGAAAACUGCAUGUCAUUGCUAAAUAAACCUAUGUCUUCCAUAAAUGCUGACGGUUUAAGCCGACUGAGUGGCACCGAGGACCGACUGGACCGAGUGUGGGAACUUCAAAGUGUCAAAAAGUUUUGACGUGAUGAUCCUACCUGAAGCAACUCUCCGGUUUCAUUCAAGACACUACCGCGUCAGCAACAGCUGUCUUGGAGCCUGCACUAGCCUCCAAAAGGAGAGAAUUAAGUCUUCAGUAAAAGGCUUGAAGGAAGGCGAAUUUCUGUGGAGUUUGAGUUCUGUGGAAAUCUAUUUAUUUUCCUGGGCAAGGCUACGUACAAGACCUGGUUGAUUUGUAGUUCAGCAAUGUUGUUGGAACCCCCUCUGCCAUAUCAGGAGCUGUUACAGAAGGCUGAGGCCCAUACACCAGUCCUGCUUGAGAGUAAUGGAGGACACUUGAAUCAGGUUGGUCACAUUUGAUCUGGUCAAUGGUCAAAAUACUAUCAGUCCUGGAAUUCACCUAACCACCAUUGAUAAUGUAAUCAGUGCUCUGUGUAUAUGUGUGUCUUGUACUGUACGUUGUAAGAAAGCUGCCCCCUUCCAAUGGACUAUUGGGCCCAGAGUGAGUAAUGCCAACAAGUCAGUGACAUGCUGGCACGUGUCCCUUGUGAAUCAGGAUCUCUGAUUGGCUAUUUCAACUGUGUAUUUACUGUUGGCUUCCAUGACUGUAUGGUGACAGUAUUUCUCUCCCUCCCUCUGUGAUAUAGGAGCUGGGUCGGAUAUAGGAGCCGUAGUCGGGCUUCUGCAUGACCAGUAUCUGUGAUGAGAGGGACCUGGAGCUGAUCUACGCUGCCAUGCCAAUCAGGCGUUGGCAAACGCCUCAAAAGGGACAAACAAACAGUGAUUACUAAUAAGACAGUACAUCAUAUCACCCUUUCAAUGUGUCACUCAUCAACUCUUCCUUGGUUUUCUACAGAUGGGAAGAAGAGUUGCUUUUCAGAUGGAGUCCUCUGACUGAAAGACAGGUUAAUACUGAUGUCAGAAUUGGGAGAGACCUUGCAACUCAGCAUAACAUUUUUACAAGACAUCUAUUACUUUUUGUCUUUUUUUAUUAGAUAAUCUAUUGGUACUAGCAGAACACUGCUUCUACAGUAUUAUGUAAAGUAAGGUUUAUUCUACAUGGAACUGUUACACUUGAAUGUUAUCAAAAUACUUUGUUUAGAAUAUCUACAAAAGUUCAGCAAUUGAACUCUUCUCAUAUUACUCUGUAGGCUACUGCCUGAUGAAUUGUCAGUUACCUACUGAGUAGUAUGAGUGCGCCAUCCUCCUGCAUCUCACAUCUGCCUGUACUGUAGUUAUUGAACUGCUGGACCCAUUGGUUGAGGCAAAAUCUGUCAUAUCCAGGUUGGAGUAUCAUGCACUCCACCCCUCCUGCCACCUGACUUUACCUAUCCAUAACCUGUAAUACAUUACAUAGAUGGAAGGAACUUCAUCACCCAGAGAGCUGUGCAUGUCAGUGUGUGGUUAGAUAGCCAAAUCCUUAGAUAUGGCUAAAUAGAAUGCUGUUCUGGUUAGACAGCUGAAAUUGUACUCUACACACAACUUUUUUUAUUUGCUAGGUAAGUGUAGGCAUACUAUCUUUAUAUGCACAUCAAUAUGAUAUUUACAGCAUAACAUGUUUUGUCUUUGUAACAUGAACACCCAUCGGUUUUUGUUGAUUAAUGCAUGUACAGUACACUCAAGCUGGGCAAUGUUUGUGCAAUAUUCACAUGUAGCCUACACCUGUUGUAGGGAUAUUAGUAGUUCUGGGAUUUGUCCCCUGGGAAAGAUCUAACAGCGGACAUAAGGAGAGAGGAGACAACUAGUCAGUUAGAAUAUUGUGUUGUAGGACAGCUGAGCUGACUCAAGAACGGGCCUUCAACACGCUGUUAAUAUAGUUUCCAUGGUAACAUGUAUCUACAUGACGUGAUGAAACUGCUUUGCAAGCUACUUUCGUAGCAAGGUGUUAUAGAAGGAUUGUCUCAUGAAACAAAUUCCAGACACUGGCUCUUGCUAUCUUGCCAUAACUGAUUUGACAGAGAAAUAUCAGCUAGAUAGGAUGGCCAGCUGCAGCUAUCACCAAAUCUAUGCUAGCUAGCUGCUGUCAGCUUGGCACAGGGUUAGCGCUGACUCUUGAGAUGGCGAGUCAAUCAGGAGGGGAGAAGUCCUCAACUUCAAAACGUUCUCUCCAUAGCAACGCUAUCUUAGCUAACCUUUCUCUACCCACUACUGCCCUUGUUUUUUUUGUGCU